AGCUAAACACAUUGUUAAUUAAUUAAGUAAAAGAAACUAAAAUAUACGUUAAAAUUAGUAUAGAUUUCGACAAAUAUUGGUGUUGGCGGUGCUUCGAAAUGGAGAAGACUUUAAAGGAGCAGAACAGCAAUGUUGUCUGUCAAGAGGAAAAAUAUGCGGUUCCAAAUAAGCGGGCGAAAUAUGGGCAAUCUGCUGUAUGGAACUAUUUUGACAAAUCGGCUGAUUGCAAGACAGCCAAAUGUAUAAAAUGUGGUAAAACCUACCAAACAAGUGGCAAUACGACAAACUUGUCUU